rnacentral:rRNA from 1 species
UACAGGGGGGGCAAGCGUUGUUCGGAAUUACUGGGCGUAAAGGGCUUGUAGGUGGCCAACUAAGUCACACGUGAAAUCCCCAGGCUUAACCUGGGAACUGCGUGUGAUACUGGAUGGCUUGAAUCCGGGAGAGGGAUGCGGAAUUCCAGGUGUAGCGGUGAAAUGCGUAGAUAUCAGGAGGAACACCGAUGGCGAAGGCAGGUCUCUGGGCCGCAACUGACGCUGAGGAGCGAAAGCGUGGGGAGCGAACGGG